GCAGAGCAUCCUACGGGAGGCAGCAGUGGGGAAUAUUGCUACAAUGGGCGCAAGCCUGAUGCAGCCAUGCCGCGUUGUAUGAAGAAGGCCUUCGGGUUGUAAAGUACUUUCAGCAGUGAGGAAGGUGGAUAUGUUAAUAGCAUAUUCAUUUGACGUUAGCUGCAGAAGAAGCACCGGCUAACUCCGUGCCAGCAGCCGCGGUAAUACGGAGGGUGCGAGCGUUAAUCGGAAUUACUGGGCGUAAAGCGCAUGCAGGUGGUUUGUUAAGUCAGAUGUGAAAGCCCGGGGCUCAACCUCGGAAUUGCAUUUGAAACUGGCAAACUAGAGUACUGUAGAGGGGGUAGAAUUUCAGGUGUAGCGGUGAAAUGCGUAGAGAUCUGAAGGAAUACCGGUGGCGAAGGCGGCCCCCUGGACAGAUACUGACACUCAGAUGCGAAAGCGUGGGGAGCAAACAGGAUUAGAUACCCUGGUAG
rnacentral:rRNA from 1 species